AUGCAAGUAAAUGGGUAUAGUGUGAUCCCAGUGGUAACAUUAGGAGUGAGUCCGAUCUGGAUAUUACCACAACCAGAGAUAGAUCUGUUCUUGCUGGAACAAAGAAAAGAGAAAGGUCAGGAAAUAUCAGAAGCAGAAUUCACAAAAGAUUAUAUAAGGAGUAAAUAUGAUCAGUAUGUACAGGUGUAUACAGAUGCGUCUAAAGACCUGCAAAGUGGCCAAGUGGGGGUUGCAUAUGUCAUCCAAGAAAUGGAAGCGGAAAGGUGUGAAAGAAUAACUAAUCAUGUGUCAGUGUUUACAGGAGAAUUAACAGCAAUCAUGAUAGCAAUAAAUAAAGUAAGUGAACUGGGAAUAAAUAAAUCCCUAAUAUGUUCUGAUUCAAGUUCUGAGCUGAUAUGUCUGGAGGCACAAAAGUCAGAAACGAGACAAGAUCUGGUAUUAGAAAUCCUACAGAUUUUAUUAAUGAUGCAAGAGACAAAUAAGAGGGUUCAGUUUUUGUGUGUUCCAGCACACACUGGAGUGUUAGGGAAUGAAAAAGCUGACAAAUUAGCAAAGAAAGCCAUGGCAAAAGAAAAUAUAGAUAUGGACAGUAAGCAUAGUAAAGAAGAAAUCAAAUCAAUUAUUAAAAGGGAGAUAAAUAAAAAAUGGCAAAAUUAUUGCGACAAUGAAAGUAAAGGGAGACUCCUUCAUUCAAUUCAACCACUGGUAGGAAGGGGAAGGAGUUCAAGUGUGAAAAGGAAAGAGGAUUGUAUUACAUCAAGAUUGAGAUUAGAGCAUACAGGUCUCAACUCAACAAUGCAUUUAAUAGGAAAACAUCCUAAUGGUAUGCAUCACAAAAAUGGCUGUCCAAAGGGUCUGAAUACUUUUUCACAUGUGUCUAUAUACUCUUUGCUCACAAUAUAUAUAUAUAUAUAUAUAUAUAUAUAUAUAUAUAUAUAUAUAUAUAUAUAUAUAUAUAUAUAUAUAUAUACACAAUUUUUUAUGUCUUUUAAAAGAGUUUCUUAUGCUCAUCAAGACUGCAUUUAUUUGAUCAAAAAUACAGGAAAAAAAAUUUUAUAUUGUGAAAUAUUAUUACGAUGUAAAAUAAUGUUUUUUUCUAUUUUAAUAUACAUUGAAAUCUAA
ensembl:lncRNA